GAUAAAUCAAAAAUAAAAUAAAAAUUAAGAAAAAACGAGGUGGAUUUUGAUUUUAUUGGUUAUUUUUGUCCUAUCAUCUAUUGGACUAAAGAUAUUAAUCAAAGGUGAAAAGUAUUUAAUGAAACUAAAGCUCAAAUGCAUAAUUAUAAAUUUUUAAACUUCAAGAACCAAAAUUGAAAGUUUACUAUAGUUUUGUAAUCAAAUGUAUAAUUAGUACUUUAUCUAAAUGCAACAAAUUUUUUUCAAUUAUUUAAGUUAUAGUUUUAUAUUGAAUUUUGGGCUAGCACCGCCACAGCUCCAGUCUGAUUCUCUAAAAUACGUCUCCAUUUACUGAACUUGAGUCUAGAUCUUCACAUUCGGAAAGCAUCCAUCGCCAGCCCAGGGAAAAGCUUUUGCUAGCGUUGUAAAGAUCUAUGAAUUCUCCGGAUCUGUUACCAAAACACUGACCCGCCUGAAGAUGGUGGGCCCUCCAAAGAAACACUUCCUCGCCUUCCUCCUCCUCCUCUCCCUCUGCAUCCUCCUCCUCCUCCUUUGCUCCCCACACCCAAACUCCAUCUCUACCCAAACCUUUCCACUAAAUGCCCACUCCAUCCUCACCACCCCAACCUUUUCUCUCACCAUCAAAGUCCUCACUUUUAACCGCCUCAAGUCCCUCACCCGCUGCCUCACCUCUCUUUCCAACGCCUACUACCUUCCGGACCACCCCGUCCACCUCCACAUCUUCAUCGACCAUUUCCCAAACCAAUCCAAAUCUGACAUCGAUCCCAAACUUCAGGACUCGCUUGGAAUUCUGCAAUUUGUUGAUGGGUUUGAGUGGAAAUGGGGUCAAAAGAUCGUUCAUUACAGAACCACCAAUGUGGGUCUUCAGGCACAAUGGUUAGAAGCCUGGUGGCCAACUUCUGAUGAUGAGUUUGCCUUUGUUGUGGAAGAUGAUUUGGAGCUUUCACCGUUGUUUUUUAAGUAUUUGAGAGCUUUGAUUCUGAACUUUUAUUACAAUGCUUCCAAUUUUAGUCCUUUUGUCUAUGGGGCUUCUCUUCAGCGCCCAAGGUUUGUUCCAGGUAAACAUGGAAACAAGAUGCUACUCGAUAACACCUCAGGACUUUUCCUGUACCAACUGGUUGGCACCUGGGGUCAGCUUCUCUUUCCAAAGCCUUGGAAAGAGUUCAGGUUGUGGUAUGACGAUCACAAGGCCAAAGAGAUCAAGCCAUUUCUUGAAGGGAUGGUUACCACAGGAUGGUACAAAAAGAUGGGAGAAAGGAUAUGGACUCCUUGGUUCAUUAAAUUUAUUCACUCUCGUGGUUAUUUUAAUAUCUACACUAAAUUUCCGGAUGAGAAAUCACUUAGUGUCUCCCACAGGGAUGUCGGUGUUAACUAUGGAAAAACAGCAGGGCCAGACUCUCAGCUAUUGGAUGUGAAUUCUCUUGAUUCCAAUUUUCUGGAAAUGAAAUCUUUGAGUACCAUGAAGUGGUAUGAUUUCUGUUUCAGGGAAGUAGUUCCAGGAAGAGUUGUAAGGAACUUGAAUGAUCUUGGGUCUAUUCUUCCUUCUGUGCAGACCAGUGGAACUGUUUUGCUUGUCAGCCUAUUUGUGGCAUCAGAGGCAGUCAGUAGGAACCUUCUUUGCCACUUUGAGAGGCUAAAUAUUCGGAAUUACAUUUUCAUUGGUCCAGCUACUGAUUUUCUGUUUGAUCUUGCUCGAAGAGGAUAUCCUGUUAUUGAUGCAGACCAAUUUAUCAACAAUAUCAGAGCAGAUAAAUCAAUGGGAAUUCAAGAUUUGAAAGCUAGGUUUAUGAAUGAUUUUCUGUUGAAGGCGUAUGUUGUCAAAAAAUGUUUAGAGUUAAGUUAUAACACUUGGGUAGUGGAUGGAAACAUGGUUCUUGUCAAUAAUGAUCUGUUUCUUGAGUCUAUUGAUUCCACAUACAACUUCUAUGCAGGGGAGAGCUUGGAUGUUUUCUUUGUCAAGAACUCACCUUCAGCUCACAAAAUUUUCGCUGAUGAUUCUCUGUAUGAUGCUGCAGCUCUGCUGGAUAAAAACUCACUACCUAAAGAUAUCAGAAAUUUUGUAUCUGUAAUGGCAAGGUUACUGGAAAAAAAGGGAUUUAGAGUUAAGCGUAUUGAUGAGAAAAGCUUUGGCAAGAAAAUGGGUAACCAAAAUCUCAAUCGAGCCUUGGAGACUGAUAAAAGGGUGGUUUAUUGGUCUAGAGAGUUGGAUAUAGAUUCCAUUCAGAUGCGGCUUCGAGAAUUGAGUCUAUGGGUCAUAGAUAAUGACUCUUCCUGCACAGCAGUAGUUUGUCACAAGUCAUAGCAGUCACAGCAAUUUUUGAACUUCCAUCUGAUUCUAAAUUUAUUGUAAUUAGUGCGAGACAGGUCAUUGAAGCUCAAGGUAUCGUAAACGCCAACCAUGGCUUUUGACAGAGUGUGAGGCAUUAGCAUUGAAACAGAAGAAAUUUCAUGUAUCCACUCUUCAGUGCUGAGAUGCGCAUUGCAAGCAAUCAGCAAUCCAAGUAUGGCAGCACAUUUGACCACUUUUUGAUGCAUGUGCUAGGAAUGAUAAUGCUAAAAGAGUUCUGGGAGAUUGUUCAUAGAUAAUGUCUUGGCUAAAGGAGGUGGCGGAUAAAGUCAGAGGUGAUAGGAAUCUCACUGUAUGCAUGAAUCUCCGAAACUGAGCAAGCUGAGUUUGAGGUCAAGCAUGGAGGCCAAGGAUUUGGAAUUUUGUUGGAAUUCAGUCGGAAAUCAGAGAUGGUAAUUUGAGAUAAAAGAGGUGAGAUUUAUGGAAUUGGAUAGGAUGAUCUCUUAUGAUGUGGUUCAAAAUCACAUGUAGGAAAACAAAAAUGAAAAUACACUUACCUUGAGAAGGAUGCCUAAGAGAGGUAUAAAAUGGUUGCACCACGAGCAUCACCUGCACAUGCAAAGAUAGGUGGAUGAGGAGAGUGAUAAAAGGAAAGGAUACCUCUCUACACAAAGAUAAAUUCCUUUUUAAAGACAAUGUCAAGUCUGCCUUUGUGUGUAGUUCUUGCUCACAAAAGACAACAGAAGGAAGAAAUACAAGAGGAACAAAAAGAAUUGCAUCAGACCAUGGCAAAACCAAGUGAGCCAAAAUUGAAGCCAUUGAA